rnacentral:rRNA from 1 species
UACAGAGGUGGCAAGCGUUGUUCGGAAUUACUGGGCGUAAAGGGCGCGUAGGCGGCCUCCUAAGUCGGACGUGAAAGCCCCAGGCUUAACCUGGGAACUGCGUCCGAUACUGGGAGGCUUGGAUUCGGGAGAGGGAUGUGGAAUUCCAGGUGUAGCGGUGAAAUGCGUAGAUAUCUGGAGGAACACCGGUGGCGAAGGCGGCAUCCUGGACCGAGAGUCGACGCUGAGGCGCGAAAGCUAGGGGAGCAAACGGGG